GAUGAACGCUGGCGGCGUGCCUAAUACAUGCAAGUCGAGCGAACGGACGAGAAGCUUGCUUCUCUGAUGUUAGCGGCGGACGGGUGAGUAACACGUGGAUAACCUACCUAUAAGACUGGGAUAACUUCGGGAAACCGGAGCUAAUCCCGGAUAAUAUUUUGAACCGCAUGGUUCAAAAGUGAAAGACGGUCUUGCUGUCACUUAUAGAUGGAUCCGCGCUGCAUUAGCUAGUUGGUAAGGUAACGGCUUACCAAGGCAACGAUGCAUAGCCGACCUGAGAGGGUCGUCGCCCACAGUGGAACUGAGACACGGUCCAGACUCCUACGGGAGGCAGCAGUAGGGAAUCUUCCGCAAUGGGCGAAAGCCUGACGGAGCAACGCCGCGUGAGUGAUGAAGGUCUGCGGAUCAUAAAACUCUAUUAUUAGGGAAGAACAUAUGUGUAAUGAACUGUGCACAUCUUGACGGUACCUAAUCAGAAAGCCACGGCUAACUACGUG
rnacentral:rRNA from 1 species